UCAAUACAACAUUUAUCAGACUAUAUAUUUAUAAUCACACCGUCCAGUGUCUCCCAUAUGAGGAUGAGGUUCCCCUUUGAGUCUGGUUCCUCUCAAGGUUUCUUCCUUUACCAUCUAAGGGAGUUGAUUUUGGCAUGGCUGAUUUUGUUCAUGUGACUGUCUCGCCUGUACAGGCUUUAACUAGGGGCUGUAAAGUGUCUGGAUUCAGCUUGACUGAUAGCAGUUAUUGUCACUGUGGUGCAGUUUCCUGCUGAGGGAAUAUUUACAGCUCACGAGGACAAAAACAUCAAAAUAUUAACUUGUUCUAAUUUCAGUUGUAUAAACUGUGGCUUCAUAAAUUAUUGAAUUAUUAAAUAUAAUAUCUAUAUAUGUAACUAUAACUUAAUAUCUUUUUUUUUGACAACUUACCUCAUUUUCAUUUACCACUGUUGUGCAGUAACUAUAGCACAGUGAUUCAUACCAUAACAAAUACCUGAUAUCCCCAGUGUUCAACACAACACAAGUCUCUCAACAGGAUACACUUUGUGCUAUAUUAAAUAAUUCUUAUCCCAACAUUUUCUGUCUGUUCGGACUUUUAAUUGAUUGCAUUUAUUUGUCAUAUUGUUUGUCGCACUCUUUAUUUAGGGACGUGUAAAAGGCUUUUGACUGAUAUUUAUUUGAUUGGUGAUCUUUUUAAUCCUUUCAAAAUAUUUUCUGAGAUUUUAAAAAUGCAUCAAACACUGAAACAACAACAAUAUUAUGUGUUUUUAUGAAGUUAUGUUUACAUGUGCUGAACGAUUGUAAUUUUGUCAUUAUAUUAUCUUAUUCACAUGAAUUCAUGUGUGUUUAUGUGAAUACUGUUGAAACAACCUUGUUUUUCAUCACAUUACACUUGAAAAAAACAAUGAUCUGUUGUGAAAUGAGACGUAUCUGCCCCUCAAGUUAGUGGUUGACAUUAUUAGAUAUAAUGCAUGGUGAGUCGUAGACACAGUUCAGGGAUUUGGGGACUUAUCCUCUGUGAUCAACUGUUAGUGGAGGUUUUUGUCCCACUGUAAAUCACCGUGGCCGUAGCCGCCGUAGUUAUCACAAUGAUAUACAACACAACAAAAACCACAUCUAUAAUUUUAACUUCUGCCAUUCACGGGAUUUUGGUCACCCCUGUACAAAAGGAGGAGACGAGGAGCUGAGACAAACGCUGGCCUUACAGUAACUACAGGUGAUCCAAAUGAAUGAGCCAGGAGAAUUCUGGGUAACCGAGCUUUCCUGCAGCACCCUGCUCAAUGUACAAUGAAGGUUUUGGACCUCCACUGAGACGAGGCUGACUUUGUGAGGAUCCUGAGGCAUGUAGAGAUGUUCCAGGUCCAGUUGGACUCUGCUAUACUAAGAGGAGAUGCCAACUCCUUGUUGUCUUUGAGGACAACAAUCUCCUCAUUAAUACAACAUUUAUCAGGCUGUAUAUUUAUAAUCACACCCUCCAGUGUCUCCCAUAUGAGGAUGAGGUUCCCCUUUGAGUCUGGUUCCUCUCACGGUUUCUUCCAUUACCAUCUAAUGGAGUUGAUUUUGGUGUGGCUGAUUUUGUUCAUGUGACUGUCUCGCCUUAUAGGCUUAGUGGCUGUAAAGUGUCUGGAUUCAGCUUGACUGAUAGCAGUUAUUGCCACUGGGAUGCAGUUUCCUGCUGAGGGAAUAUUUACAGCUCACGAGGACAAAAACAUUAAAGUAUUAACUUGUUCUAAUUUCAGUUGCAUAAACUGUGGCUUGAUAUAUUCUUGAAUUAUUAAAUAUAUCUAUAUAACUAUGACUUAAUAUCUUUUUUUGAUAACUUACCUCAUUUUCAUUUACCACUGUUGUGCAGUAACUAUAGCACAGUGAUUCAUAACAUAACAAAUACCUGAUAUCCCCAGUGUUCAACACAACACAAGUCUCUCAACAGGAUACACUUUGUGCUAUAUUAAAUAAUUCUUAUCCCA